UUUGGAGUGAAUUUUCCUUACGUAACGGGAGCAAACUGAUUAUUCCCUGAUCUUUGAGGAAGGUGAUACUUAAGAGUUAAAAUUCUGUGUAUGCAUUUUGAACUGAAGUUUCUUCCUCUAGGAGAUACCACUCUGAAUGAAAGCAUCACACUUGUCAGCACUUUCCUCCAUGCCAGAGGGCUGAGAGGGAGCGUGACCUGGAUAGGAUCGCUUCCUAAAGCGUGUAUUUAAAGUAAUCUAACAGGGCACUCGGUCCCGUGCAGACUGGUUCCACACAGGCUGCCACGUACACUCAAACCUUGCAGACAAAAAGAAGCCGUUUAGUAUAUUUUUGCUGACUACAGUUUGAGAACCUCUUGUAGGAAACCAACAGAACAGAAGACAAUGGAAAAGUGUUGGCUGUGACGGGGCUUACAAAUACAAACUGAAAGUACAAUGGACAUAGUGGCUGAUUGCAUGCUGGAAACUACAGCUCGUCUGUGAACUAAUCCUCGGGAUCUCAGCAGUUCUAAGCAGACAGAGAGGGAAGGUCCCAUGCUUAUGACUCAUGCUACCAUUUUUCUCUCCUAUUGUUUUGCAAAUUCUCUGCUUAAUCUAAAAUCCAUUUCAACUAGAAACUUCCAGGCUCAGCGGAAACUUAAAGAUAAUAUAUUCCAAACAAGUGAUGCUUCAAAAGGGUGUGGAUCUACAACCCUUUAAAUCAGCCUGAACCUGGGCUGGCAUAGCCCUGCCCUUGUCACUGGCUUCUGAGCCUCUGCCCCUUCCUGUGCUCACAUGAUCCCACAAAGAGCAGAUCUAGAAACUGACCAAGCUGGAAACCAAGCCAGUGCCACCACGAGGAACCAGAGGGAGUGGGAGUGAUACAGGACAUGUCUCAAGAUAAAGUUGUGGCAAUCCAGAUUUAGACAGGCCUAAGUGGAGGUGUACCACUAAGAGUUACUAAUCAUCCUGAAUGAACCAUGUCUUAAAGGAAAUGGGCAUUCUGAGCUUUGGGUUUCAUUUUAAGGUAUUGAUUUAUGUCCCUAAACCAUUUUAAAUCUGUACAUUAGCAGAAAAGUUAUCCUACAUAUACUGGCAAUAUAUUCUCUUAAUGGAAUACAUAGUAAUGAAAUUUUGUCUCACUCGAUCUUUAAGAGCAGAUUCAAACUUCAAGGAUUAUGAGUUCAGGCAGGAUAAUGCCCGUUUUCUCUGCCUGAUGGCUGGCAGUAACACUUUGAAGCUGGUUUUGAUAAUAGGUAGGAUACCACAGUAGCCACUCUCAACUUUAGAAAUCUUUUCUACUUCAUUGCUUUAGCUUUGUUUAACAGCCCAUUUUUGAGUGGUAAAACAGUAGCAGAAAUGGCAAUAUAUUUAUGAAGACACGCUAAAUAAAACUGUAUUGCUUUUAUAAGAAUACACUCCAGAUUAUAUCAAAGUUAUAGCAAAAAUCUCAUGGGUCUGUAAGAACAGUGAGAGCACUGCAAGACAGGAUUCCAUCAGCUUCCCAGUGACAACUUUUCAUGCUGGGUACCCCACGGCAUGAGGCCAAACACACCUUCAGAAAUAAAUGCACGAAGUGUCAAAUCUUUCAACAUCACCUUUCUAUGCAAAGCAUUUCUAUCAGCCUACCACCCUUUUCCAGACAGGGAAAUUCCCACCAAGUCAUCAAUAAUACAUACAGGCAGCCAUCAGUCCACCUACUAAUGAGCAGUUUUAGCACACAGCACCUAUUCAGAGAAAGCAGGCCUGGAAGAUGAGAACAUAGCCCUUAAUAAUUUACAAGGCUUACAAAUUUACAGACCUUAUCCCAAAAGCCAAACAAAAAGAAUGCGAUAUCUACUCAGAUUUCCAGAACAAACCAAGACACAGCAUUUCAGAAGCCAUUAGGAUCUAUCAGUCAGUAAUACUCUCCAAAUGUUCUUCUGUGGAAUAACCUGUCAGCCAAAGACCCAUCCGUCUCUAAAAGCCUGUAUUAUUAGAGAUACAACAUCAGGAACCUUAGGAAAUGUGCACUGCUGAAAAUUAGCUUGAAAAGGUUUGAAAAUUAUUCAAUAUGGCAAAUGCUAAAAAUCUUUAGAAUUUGCUGUUUGAAGUAGACAAAACUGGUCUAGUCUGGUUCUGCAUAGAAUAAAUACCAGCCCUCUACAAAUGUCAAGCGUGCCCAGGGACAGAGUUCACAUCCAACAUCAAACACUCACUUUGGCAGCACAACACAGAGAACCAGGAGCAGGGGAAAAGACAGCCCAUGGUCUUGUCCUGGGACUAAACACUCAGUUCUGUACCUGGCCAAGCAGGUAAUCCAUAUUCCCACCAGCCAUUAGUUACACAGGCAACACAGGGAUUGGUAGGAGUAUCUGGGAAGGAAUUAUGAUGAUGCAGUUUGGUCUACUUAUGACAGCCAGAUCUGCAGUUUAUAUCUGAAAACCAACAAAACAACCCUAACACCAAUUCCUUGAUUUUCUUGGUGUCUCCUACUACAAAUAAACACCUUAUUGCUGUAAAA